GGAUUUGUCAGUUGGUCGGGCUUCACUGUCCGUAUUGACUUGAUGGAUUCUUAGCCUCUGAAUAACCAGCAUGCUAUUAAGUUAGUGCGUUGGGGAAGCAGAUCUAUUACCUUGAGAAAAUAGAGUGUUCAAAGCAGGCCUUUGCCCGAAUACAUUAGCAUGGCAUAAUAAAAUAGGACGUGCGGUUCUAUUUUGUUGGUUUCUAGAGUCGCCGUA
rnacentral:rRNA from 1 species